AAAGUCAUAACAAGGUUUUCGUAGGUGAACCUGUGGAAGGAUCAUUAAUGAAAACUAUUUUAAUAGUUCUCAAACUCUAAACCCCUUUGUUUAAACUUACCAUGUUACUUCCACUGGACAGGCUAAGCUUGUAUUACUAAGUGAAGCCCUUUAGAUUAUGCCUUUGGUAUUUUCUAGGGAGCUACCAGUGGAUAGAACCUAUAAAUUCUAUUUGUAAAACCUAUAUCUAAUUUAAAUAUUGUAAUGAUAUAAAAACUUUCAACAAUGGAUCUCUAAGCUCUU
rnacentral:misc_RNA from 1 species